rnacentral:tRNA from 1 species
UUAAUUGAAGCCAAAGAAGAGGCCUUUCAUUGUUAAUGAAACUACUGGUUAACAUAAUAACCCAAUUAAA